rnacentral:rRNA from 1 species
AACGAACGCUGGCGGCAUGCCUAACACAUGCAAGUCGAACGAGAUCUUCGGGUCUAGUGGCGCACGGGUGCGUAACGCGUGGGAAUCUGCCCUUUGGUUCGGAAUAACAGUUGGAAACGACUGCUAAUACCGGAUGAUGACGAAAGUCCAAAGAUUUAUCGCCAGAGGAUGAGCCCGCGUAGGAUUAGCUAGUUGGUGUGGUAAAGGCGCACUAAGGCGACGAUCCUUAGCUGGUCUGAGAGGAUGAUCAGCCACAGUGGGACUGAGACACGGCCCAGACUCCUACGGGAGGCAGCAGUGGGGAAUAUUGGACAAUGGGCGAAAGCCUGAUCCAGCAAUGCCGCGUGAGUGAUGAAGGCCUUAGGGUUGUAAAGCUCUUUUACCCGGGAUGAUAAUGACAGUACCGGGAGAAUAAGCUCCGGCUAACUCCGUGCCAGCAGCCGCGGUAA